rnacentral:rRNA from 1 species
UGUAGUCAUAUGCUUGUCUCAAAGAUUAAGCCAUGCAUGUCUAAGUAUAAGCAAUUAUACAGCGAAACUGCGAAUGGCUCAUUAUAUAAGUUAUCGUUUAUUUGAUAGUACCUUACUACUUGGAUAACCGUGGUAAUUCUAGAGCUAAUACAUGCUAAAAAUCCCGAGUUCGGAAGGGAUGUGUUUAUUAGAUUAAAAACCAAUGCCCUCCGGGGCUCCUUGGUGAUUCAUGAUAACUAUUCGAAUCGCAUGGCCUUGCGCCGGCGAUGGUUCAUUCAAAUUUCUUCCCUAUCAACUUUCGAUGUUUGGGUAUUGGCCAAACAUGGUUGCAACGGGUAACGGGGAAU